GAACUUGACCCGUUAGCAGCCGCGGCCAUGGCUGCGCGCUCGCCGCCCUCACCGCUCCCUCCGCCCCCAGCGCGACAGUUGGGUCCCCGGUCUCCACGUAUUGGGCGGGGAGCUGAGGUACACGUAGUGCGCAGUGAGACCUCGGGUCUUGCCGGCGCAGCGCGGGAGGCCGUCGCGGACAAAAGUGAUAUAAUCUGGUGGGCCGAAGAAGGGUCAGGGGGCCAGCGCGGGCCGAGGGGCGCAGCUCUGGCUCAUGCUCCCCUCCUCAGCGCGCCCAUGGGGUCCAGGCGGCUAGAGGGCAUCUCGGUAGAGGAGGCGAUGGUGACCCGCACGCAGCUGCUGGAGGAAGAGCUGAGCAGCCUAAAGGAGGAGCUGGCCCUGUGUCAGGCUGAUAAAGAAUUUGUAUGGUCUUUGUGGAAACGUCUCCAGGUGACAAACCCAGAUCUCACACAAGCAGUCAGUUCGGUUGUGGAAAGGAAGCCACUGGAAAAUAUUUACCACCAAAAUGAAGAAUAAACCAAAAAAGACAAAGACUUGGGAUCAAGGAAAUGUGAGGCUUAGUACAUGAACAAUGUAAAGAUUUUCUGUGAUAAAGAUAAAAGGAAGUCCAAGAAGUCUUG